UAGGGAAUCUUCCACAAUGGGCGAAAGCCUGAUGGAGCAACGCCGCGUGUGUGAUGAAGGCUUUAGGGUCGUAAAGCACUGUUGUAUGGGAAGAAAUGCUAGAAUAGGGAAUGAUUCUAGUUCGACGGUACCAUACCAGAAAGGGACGGCUAAAUACGUGCCAGCAGCCGCGGUAAUACGUAUGUCCCGAGCGUUAUCCGGAUUUAUUGGGCGUAAAGCGAGCGCAGACGGUUGAUUAAGUCUGAUGUGAAAGCCCGGAGCUCAACUCCGGAAUGGCAUUGGAAACUGGUUAACUUGAGUGUUGUAGAGGUAAGUGGAACUCCAUGUGUAGCGGUGGAAUGCGUAGAUAUAUGGAAGAACACCAGUGGCGAAGGCGGCUUACUGGACAACAACUGACGUUGAGGCUCGAAAGUGUGGGUAGCAAACAGGANUAGAUACCCUGGUAGUCCACACCGUANCGAUGAAUACUAGGUGUUAGGAGGNUUCCGCCUCUUANUGNCNAANCUAACGCAUUAANUANUCCACCUGGGGAGUACNACCGCAAGG
rnacentral:rRNA from 1 species